GCUGAAGAUGACUACUAGUUGUGGGGACAUUCCACGGUUUCCGUGACCCACCUAACGCAUUAACUUCCCCGCCGGGGAAGUACAGCCGCAAGGCUAAAACUCAAAGGAAUUGACGGGAACCCGCACAAGCGGGGGACCAUGCGGAUUAAUUCAAUGCAACGCGAAAAACCUUACCAAGGCUUGACUUACACCACAACACCGUAGAAAUACGGGACUCUUUGGACACUGGUGAACAGGUGGUGCAUGGUUGUCGUCAGCUCGUGUCGUGAGAUGUUGGGUUAAGUCCCGCAACGAGCGCAACCCUCGUUCUAUGUUGCCAGCACGUAAUGGUGGGAACUCAUGGGAUACUGCCGGGGUCAACUCGGAGGAAGGUGGGGAUGACGUCAAAUCAUCAUGCCCCUUAUGUCUUGGGCUUCACGCAUGCUACAAUGGCCGGUACAAAGGGCUGCAAUACCGUGAGGUGGAGCGAAUCCCAAAAAGCCGGUCCCAGUUCGGAUUGAGGUCUGCAACUCGACCUCAUGAAGUCGGAGUCGCUAGUAAUCGCAGAUCAGCAACGCUGCGGUGAAUACGUUCCCGGGUCUUGUACACACCGCCCGUCAAGUCAUGAAAGUCGGUAACACCUGAAGCCGGUGGCCCAACUCUUUGUGGAGGGAGCCGUCGAAGGUGGGAUCAGGUAAUUGAGGACUAAGUCGUAACAAGGUACCCGUAAGGU
rnacentral:rRNA from 1 species